AGCCCAGGGCACAUUCGUGGGUGCUUCCCUACAUUUGCACUAUAG
rnacentral:tRNA from 1 species